UGCCAGCCGCCGCGGUAACACGGGGGGCGCAAGCGUUAUUCGGAAUUAUUGGGCGUAAAGGGCGCGUAGGCGGUCUUGUCGGUCAGAUGUGAAAGCCCAGGGCUCAACCCUGGACGUGCAUUUGAAACAGCAAGACUUGAAUACUGGAGAGGAGAGCGGAAUUCCUGGUGUAGAGGUGAAAUUCGUAGAUAUCAGGAGGAACACCGAUGGCGAAGGCGGUCUCUUGGUCCGAAACUGACGCUGAGGCGCGAAAGCGUGGGGAGCAAACAGGAUUAGAUA
rnacentral:rRNA from 1 species